AGACUAAUAUACAUAAAACUGAGUAGUUUAAAAUCAGACUAAUGUUUUUAGUGGCUCAUUAACUUGAAGUGUUUUAUUUUCUACUUGUUUUUCUCUAUUACAUUAUUGAAGGUCUUUUUUAUCUACAGCAUAGAUGGCAGCGAAUAGCAGAUGAGCUGCCAAGAUUUUUCAAGUUUAAUCCUAAGAGCAAACCGAAGCACAAUUCUUUGGUGCCAGCUCAGCCUUGUGCCAGCAGCUCGGUGUUCCAGAGAUUAUCACUCCUUUCAAGAUCACAUUCUCUGUCAACUUUAUGAAAGCAGACAUGAAGAUAUGAACAAAGGUAUAUCCUUGGCAACCAACUUUUAUGCUUUUCUAAAGGGAGAGAUGAAAGGGUGACAGGGUUUAGUGGGCAGGGUGGUGAUGGGUUGGUGGUUGGACCACAUGGUCUUAGUGGCCUUUUCCAGCCUUAAUAAUUCCAUGAAGUUAUCUGCCCUCACUGACUCUGUAGCUGAAGGCAUGAGGCAGCACAUGAGAGCAUACAGACCAAAGAGCUUCCAAAGAAUCUCAUUAAACAAGGUGCCAACAUAACAGCAAUCUGGGAAAGCAGAUAGAGUGGAUCAUGGUCUUGGGAUCUGAACUACAGCAGAUUAGCUUGUACCCUGUACAAGUAAUGAGAGAGAGCACUUGGGAAGGGAUGGCAGCCCAACAGCAGGAGUCAAUGGGCAGGAUGGAGCACAGGGAAGGGAGCCCUUCUGGAAAGGCCAGUAUGCUGGGGCUGCCUGUCAUCACCACAGGGAAAUGUAGGCUUUUCUUCUCCUUCCGCACCAGGACUGAUCUUAUAGGAGUGCCAGGCUGUGGCUCCAUGGAUUUGACACAUUGGCGUGAGCAGCCAUGCUCCUUCAGUCAGUGACUGAAGUACUAAGAUACUUACUUAAACUAGCAAUGGCACCUCCAUCUCUCUUGCAUUGGCUACAAAUACCGAAACACAUAAUAAAUUGGCUGUGAGCAUGUGGCUGACAGCAAUUUGGAAUGCCGUGAUUGUACAAAAUCCCAAGUUCUGAAAAAUGACAGCCCUGAAAGGAAAUCCAGAUGCUAGAAAAUAAAGCCCUUAACUCUAUGGAGAAAUGUCUGAAAGACUGCAACUGGAAAAGCAUCUUUUAUGGUUUCUCUGCCUUAUGAAAGGAAGUAAGCUGGGAAAGUAUAGAAAGUUACAGGAAGAACAUGAAGUCUAUUGAUACUUCCAACCUGUUUCACAUUUUGACUGUGCAACAUGCAAGUCUUUUCUAGAGACAAUAACAGCUUUACCUCAUUGCCACCAAGCUCAUCAUCAGCUUUUGAAUCCAAGUGCCAGUUUAGUUUUAUCUUGUCAAGUGUGACUUGAAAUCUUCUAAUUUCUGCAUUUUCCUCCCAUGUGAUACCAGCGUUUGCUUCCUACUUUUUCUUCUCUGUUUUGUUCUCUUGAAAGCGCCACACUGACUAACAGCAUAGAAAGGCCUGGGCUGCCAGGGAGUACAGCAUGUGUAGUUAGGAUUUGGAAGGGUGAGCACAAAAAGAGAAGCAACAAGCUACUUCUGGACUCUCACAGCCCAAUUUCUGUGUCUUACGAAUGUAACUUGGGAACUAACCUUGCAGAAAUGCAAAGCUCCAGUCUAGGGACUUUCCCUGUCUGCUGUUCAGAAAUAAUCCAGCUUCAGUGCUGAGAAUAGGAAAAACAGGCAGCAUGGCUUAAAUACUUCUUAAUUCUCACAAACCAGAUUUCUUUUAUGUUGUGCUUUCCAGGAGCUCUUCUCAGGAUUUCUAUUUAACUUGAAAGACUUGAUCCUAUAUAAUCCUUUUCUCUUAAUGCUCAGGAGCACUAGGUAUUCAUCUUCAGUUCUUUCAAACCAGCAAGAACACAGAAUACCUACAUGCUCUCAAGAAUGAAAACACACAUAUGUGGAUCUAUUUCAUUUUGCAUUUCCUUGGUGUCCUUUUUGUUCAACUUAAAUUGCUUUGUAGUGGUAGCUCCUGUUCUUUAUUUGGGAAAUAUUUCAGGACUGGUGGUAUAGCUGUAGCCAAGGAAAAGGCUUCCAGAUACAGGACCUGACCCAUUAGUACAUGAUGUGCAUAGAUAGGCCUGUUCCAUAUGAGUAAAAUUCAGUUAGGAAAGGUUAAGUUCUCUACAAAUAGUCUUUUUUUUUUUCCCCCAGUGACUUUUGGCCUUACUUUGCCUGGCAUGAAUGUGAGAAGAUAGGUCCAUCAGUCUUCACAAGCUCAUGGGCAACAAGUUAAAGAAGCAAGAAUUGCCACCCCUGCACACCUCCAUGGCGGCCCAGCAAGCCGGAACCUUUAGCUGCUGCAGGCACAGGUGGUGGCAGGGCAGGCAGCACAGAGGUGUGCUGCUGAAAGAUGCUGCUCACAUGAGGGCUGCUGUGCUGCAAAUGGUAUGUCAUCAGAGGUGGUUGCUUUGGCUGUACUGGGGAGCUGGGGCUACACAAGACUCCAAGGAGGAAGACUACCCCUGCCUUAGUGCAUCAGACCUGUGCUAUAUCCAAGCCUGACACUAGAAUCAGACUUGUUUUUCUUUAGUUAUGUUUAGCUGUCUGAUGUCUCUCGGGAUGAGGUGUGGACCUUUCAAUGAUACCUACGGUAGCUAUUUCAUGUAGUGAAAAAUUUGUGUAAAAGCCAUUGGUAAAGCUAAGCUUCUAAUGAUGCAAUUACUGAUAUUAUUAAAGGCUGUAAUUUUAGUUAUUGCUUGAUAUAGUUAGAUACUUAAUUGCUUAUUAUAGUUGUUUACUUACAUUGAUUACAUUACCUCAAUUAUAAGUUUUGUAAUGUGAACUGAUUGCUGUCUUGAUUAAAAUGAUGUUAUAUCACA